UGGUGGAGUGAUUUGUCUGCUUAAUUGCGAUAACGAACGAGACCUUAACCUGCUAAAUAGCCAGGCUAGCCUUGGCUGGUCGCCGGCUUCUUAGAGGGACUAUCGGCUCAAGCCGAUGGAAGUUUGAGGCAAUAACA
rnacentral:rRNA from 1 species